rnacentral:ncRNA from 1 species
CUUAGGCAAAUCCGGGAUUGCAUACGCCGAGCACCGAGACGAGUCCUUAAGAGGACGAAGAGACUGAGACUACGCUUCCAGGAAAAGCCACUAAGCUUCAGCUUAAGAAGAACCGUACCGUAAACCGACACAGGUAGGCAGGGUGAGAAUCCCAAGGCGCUUGAGAGAACUCGGGUGAAGGAACUAGGCAAAAUGGCACCGUAACUUCGGGAGAAGGUGCGCCCCUUGAUGUGGUCACGGGCGUGACUGGGCAUGGAGGGGCCGCAGUAACCUGGCC